rnacentral:lncRNA from 13 species
CAGGGACCCAGUGGACCAGCAGGUGAGUCCAACUGCUGGUCCUGUGUUCUGGGCUCUUGUACACUGGCAGAACAAUGAGGAUUUGAUUUUGAUUCUUUUUGAGUUCUUGUUUUAUUUCUGGUGCCAGCUUCAUUUGGCUUAAUGUUGUGACCAUUUGGUGAUCUCUGUAAGUGGAUUAAUGGUUUAGAGAUAUUUCUGUUAAGGGAAAGACAAAAGAAAAAUCUGGAUUUCCUUGGAUUCUUUGGAUUGUUGGUCUGCUCUUAAUAAAAAGUUAUAGAUGGUUAUUCUUUACCUGCUGCAUAGUCUUCCUGGAAACAGCAAGAAGUUCGCUCACCAAGAAGAGGACCCUCACCAGACACUGGAUUUACUGGCAUCUUGAUCUUGGAUUUUCUAGCCUCUAUAACUGUGAG